rnacentral:piRNA from 1 species
UUCCAAAUUCCUUCACAAAUAGGUUCUACUG